rnacentral:lncRNA from 1 species
GAAUCACCCAGGGUGGGGCUUAUUUGGGGCACCUAUUGUGAUCUGAAUGUUGAAUGCCCCUUCACAUGUUUGAAUACUUGGCCCUCAACUGAAGGCCGAGGAACCGCGGAGGUCAGCAGCAAAGGAGCAGCACCAGGUCUCGUGACCGUCCACUGGAGCCUGGGUAUAGGAAGAGUGGAGAAGGGGUGUGGAGAACAACCACGGGGGAGGAAGUGUGAACUCCACAUGUAGCUUUGAAGAGUUGGUUCCUCUGGGGACAAAGAUGCCUGUGGCUGCCAUCCACACAGAAGAUUGCAGGGCACCAGUGUUUUCCAGAGUCAAGAAAAGCACCUGCCAUGCUUUGAGGGCUAGAAUGGCUUCCUGUUCUUCAUGCUACUCCUCUGGCUCGGCUUUCGGUUUUUAAUGACUCCCAUCACGAGACCAUUGUCAUCUCAGCUUCCUGUGAUAGCCCAAGAAUGCAUGAAAUUACCAUCUCCAACAAGAGCACAAAGCAAGCAGCCAUGCUUCACGGGCAUUAUCGCUUUAUUAAUCGCCAUUACGCCCUUCCAUCCCAGCGGCCCUUCCAGUUAGACAGGGAUGUGGUUUCAAACAAUCAUGCUGCUCUUGUAUUUUCACCAGGAUCUGUAUUAAAAGCUCUGACAGAUUGCUAAUGAGCUGAUGUUGGAAUUACAGAAUAGUCUGUUAGCCUGUGUCCGUUCACAGUUUCC